GACAGAGGUGCCAAGCGUUAGGCGGAAUCACUGGGCUUAAAGGGCGCGUAGGCGGAUGACCAAGUCAGGGGUGAAAGCCCGCAGCUUAACUGCGGAAGUGCCUUUGAUACUGGUUGUCUCGAGGGAGAUAGGGGCAUGUGGAACUUCCGGUGGAGCGGUGAAAUGCGUAGAUAUCGGAAGGAACGCCGGUGGCGAAAGCGACGUGCUGGAUCUCUUCUGACGCUGAGGCGCGAAAGCUAGGGGAGCAAACGGG
rnacentral:rRNA from 1 species